AUCAACUUUCGAUGGUAGGAUAGAGGCCUACCAUGGUGGUAACGGGUAACGGGGUGUUAGGGCACGACACCGGAGAGGGAGCCUGAGAAACGGCUACCACAUCCAAGGAUGGCAGCAGGCGCGCAAAUUACCCAAUCCCGACACGGGGAAGUAGUGACAAUAAAUAACAAUACGGGGUUCUUUCGGAUCUCGUAAUUGGAAUGAGUACAAUUUAAAUCUCUUAACGAGGAACAAUUGGAGGGCAAGUCUGGUGCCAGCAGCCGCGGUAAUUCCAGCUCCAAUAGCGUAUAUUAAAGUUGUUGCAGUUAAAAAGCUCGUAGUUGAAUUUCGAGAUUAAUUUAUUGGUCGUGCCUUGGUACGUACUGACAUUAUUGAUUUCUCCCUUCUGAAGAACCAUGAUGUCAUUAAUUUGGUGUCUUGGGGAAUCAGGACUGUUACUUUGAAAAAAUUAGAGUGUUUAAAGCAGGCUCGCGCUUGAAUACAUUAGCAUGGAAUAAUGAAAUAGGACGUUUGAUUCUAUUUGGUGGUUUCCAAGAAUGGAGUAAUGGUUAAUAAGGAAAAGUGGGGGCAUUAAUAAUUCAUUGGCCGAAGUGAAAUUUCUGGAAUUAAUGGAGAAUAACUACUGGCAAAGCAUUUGGCAAGGAAGGUUUCCUUAAUCCAGAACGAAAGGUAAGGGAACGAAAAACAAUAGAAUACGGUCGUAAUCCUUAACCAUAAAACUAAUGCUCGACUAGGGAUCGGGAUGAUGUUAAAUUUUUUAAUUGACCUCAUUCGGCCGCCUUACGGGAAACCAAAGUGU
rnacentral:rRNA from 1 species